rnacentral:rRNA from 1 species
AGCUCCAAUAGCGUAUAUUAAAGUUGUUGCAGUUAAAAAGCUCGUAGUUGGAUUUCUGGCAGGAGUGACUGACCACAAACUCUGUUUGUGAGUUGUGUCAUUCUGGCCAUCCUUGGUGAGAUCCUAUUUGGCAUUAAGUUGUCGGGUAGGGGAUAACCAUCGUUUACUGUGAAAAAAUUAGAGUGUUUAAAGCAGGCUUAUGCCGUUGAAUAUAUUAGCAUGGAAUAAUAAGAUAGGACUUUGAGUCUAUUUUGUUGGUUUGCGAGUCAAAGUAAUGAUUAAUAGGGACAGUUGGGGGUAUUCGUAUUUCAUUGUCAGAGGUGAAAUUCUUGGAUUUCUGAAAGACGAACUACUGCGAAAGCAUUUACCAAGGAUGUUUUCAUUA